rnacentral:rRNA from 1 species
UACGGAGGAUCCGAGCGUUAUCCGGAUUUAUUGGGUUUAAAGGGUGCGUAGGCGGCCUGGUAAGUCAGGGGUGAAAGACGGUAGCUUAACUAUCGCAGUGCCCUUGAUACUGCUGGGCUUGAAUGUAGUUGAGGUAGGCGGAAUGUGACAAGUAGCGGUGAAAUGCAUAGAUAUAUGGAAGAACAUCAAUAACGGCGAAGGCAGUUAACUAUUCUGUUACUGACGUUGAGGCACGAAAGCGUGGGGAGCAAAACGG